UUCAGUUUCUUUCUUUUUCUUCUGAACUACAUGGCAGACAUUUUUUUCUCUUUCAAUCAUUAAGAUGUUAUAGAUUAUUAUUAAGAUGUUGUAUCUAUAACAUCUUAAUGAUUGAAAAAUAAAAAUGUCUGCCAUGUAGUUCAGAAGAAAAAUAAAGAAACUGAA
rnacentral:sRNA from 1 species